GACGAACGCUGGCGGCGUGCUUAACACAUGCAAGUCGAACGGUGAAGCGCCUUCCUUUUUGGUUGGUGUGGUUGCGUGGCGAACGGUUGAGUAACACUUACGUAACCUUCCCCCUUCUUCUGGAUAACCACAUUAAAGUGUGUCUAAUAUGGGAUAUUCUGGUUCUGUGUCAUGGUGGGUCUGGUUAAGAUGUUGGUUCGGUGGGGGAUGGGCUCGCGGCCGAUCGGCUUGUUGGUGCGGUGAUGGCCUUCCAAGGCGGUGCCGGGUAGCCGGCCUGAGAGGGUAGACGGUCAGAGUGAGUCAGAGACCAGGCCGAGACUGAUACGGGAGGCAGCAGUGGGGAAUAUUGAGCAGUGGGGGAAAGCGUGAUGCAGCGACGCGGCGGGAGGGAUGGAGGCGUUCGGGGGGUGAACCUCUUUCGCCAGUGAAGCAGGCCUGCCUCGGUUGUAGGUGGGUUGACGGUAGCUGGAAAAGAAGCACCGGCUAACUACGUG
rnacentral:rRNA from 1 species